UGUUCAUUAGUGAAUAAAUUGGUAAAGCGCUGCUGAUGUAUGAUUGGCCGGUUCUAUUCACCUUGCUAGAGUUCCUUGGUAAAAUUAACAAUCUCAAACAAAAUGAAAACUUUGACAUUUAGAUAUGAGUUGUACUUUUUCUUCAGUCCACGAGAGUAUUUAUCUGCUCCCUUCAGCAUGGGAUAAUUCUGGUGCAAAAUUGUGUUGUGAGCAGUGAUAUUGCCUGAUUGCUCAUCUUCGAGAUGGGUGACAUGGAUGAUAUGGAAGAUUUUGAAGGCUUUGGUGAUGAAGAUGAUGAUGGAGAUGAAGAUGAUAUGGAAGAGCCAGUAACAAAGAAACCCAAGCGAUCAGACUCUGACUCAAGUUCAAAGAUUGGGCGGAAAUCUAGGAAGGUUAUCACAGAGGUGGAAGAAGACGAGGACAGGGGUAGCAG